rnacentral:lncRNA from 1 species
UGAAGAAGAAGAAGAAGAAGAAGAAGAACUAAAGAAAGAGAAGAAGAAGAAGAACGCAGGGAAAAGUUUAAGACUGUGACACAGAACGAGAGGACAGACAUGUGUUCACCCAGAGCAGAAAGCAAGCAGUGAAAGACAAGAGUCGCCCCCCGUCCAGCAGAGCGUCUUCCACCCGACAGCAUUACCCCCCCCACCCCCACCCUCACCACAGCAGCUCCACCGAGGAACAGGAGAGCCCUGAGAGAGUGGAGCAGAAGGAGAAGCUUCAUGCAGAGUUGAAGCAAGUGUUGAGUCUGAAGAGAAGUCACCUGACAGAGUUGAGCU